rnacentral:rRNA from 1 species
GACGUAGGGGGCCAGCGUUGUUCGGAAUUACUGGGUGUAAAGGGUUCGUAGGCGGUGUGGCAAGUCGGGAGUGAAAUCUCUGGGCUCAACUCAGAGACUGCUUCCGAAACUGCUGUGCUGGAGUGUGGGAGAGGCGCGUGGAAUUGCAGGUGUAGCGGUGAAAUGCGUAGAUAUCAGGAGGAACACCAAUAGCGAAGGCAGCUCGCUGGGACGGUACUGACGCUAAGGCGCGAAAGCGUGGGGAGCGAACAGG